CCCAGAUCAGAAAAUCAUAGUAUCUGUCCGAUUGAUGCGGUACUCUAUCGGAUCUCUUUAAUGGUGCCUCUACUGGCUCCGGAUUUGAUUCACCAACCAAUCCCAAUUCUGCAUGUGUUGGUCCAUUCACCUCAUGAACUUCAUCAAGUUCAAUUUUACAAGCAUUAGCUCCUUCACCAAGGAACUUCUUUUCCAAAAAGACUGUCCGACUGCUGAC
rnacentral:lncRNA from 1 species